rnacentral:tRNA from 3 species
CGGAGCGUAGCGCAGUCUGGUAGCGCACACGCCUGGGGGGCGUGCGGUCGCUGGUUCAAAUCCAGUCGCUCCGACCA